CCUACGGGCGGCAGCAGUGGGGAAUAUUGCACAAUGGGGGAAACCCUGAUGCAGCGACGCCGCGUGAGUGAAGAAGGAUUUCGGGAUGUAAAGCUCUAUCAGCAGGGAAGAAAAUGACGGUACCUGAGUAAGAAGCCCCGGCUAACGACGGGCCAGCAGCCGCGGGAAUACGUAGGGGGCAAGCGUUAUCCGGAUUUACUGGGUGGAAAGGGAGCGGAGACGGCAGCACAAGUCUGGAGUGAAAUGCCGGGGCUUAACCCCGGAACUGCUUUGGAAACUGUGCAGCUAGAGUGCAGGAGAGGUAAGUGGAUUUCCUAGUGUAGCGGUGUAAUGCGUAGAUAUUAGGAGGAACACCAGUGGCGAAGGCGGCUUACUGGACUGUAACUGACGUUGAGGCUCGAACGCGUGGGGAGCAAACCGGAUUAGAUACCCUGGUAGUC
rnacentral:rRNA from 1 species